GGGGUAUCUAAAAUUUUCUGAUGAACACACGUUUAUUACUAGUAUUGAGAAAUACAGCCAGUUUUUGUAUAUUUAUCUUGUAUCCCGCAACCUGGAUGAGCUCGUUUGUUAACUCUGGAGUUGGAGUAUGUGUGUGAAUUCCGUGGGGUUUUCUACAUUUUCUGUAAAAUGUCUGUAAACAUCUCUGCUUUCUCAUAGGAACGGCUUUGGUUGCCUUUCCCUCUAUGGAUGUGUCUAGAACUUGGAGCAUGAGUCCAAACGUGAAUGGCGAGAGUGGGGUCCAUGUCCUAGUCUCAGACAGACUUUCACGAUCAAGCAUCACUUCGGCUUAGGUUUGGGUGGAAGCUCUUUAUCACACUGAGGAAGUUCCUCUCUGAUCCUACCACCUCAGUGACUUGUUGAAUAUCGUCAGAAGCUCCUCUGAGUCAGCUGGCGUAAGCGUGUGACCUCUGGCCUGUCGCUGUGUAGAUGAGUGGAUCGACUCGGGAACCUCGGGCAAGCCUGGAGUCCCGGGAAAAGCUGCGCUUGAUUGCGGGGUAGAAUUUGCUGGUCUCCUGCUGAAUUCCAUUGGCUGAGAGUCCGUCAGUGACUCUGUGUCACAUUCAUGAGGGACCCCGGUCGGUCCCUUCCCUCUUUAUCCCUACUCCCUCUGUCUGGUGUGUAUCAGAAUGACACUGAGUCCUAAGAUGGACUAAUGGGGGUCCCCCUCUUCUGUUUUCUGAAGGAAUUGGGAGUCCAUUCUUCUGCAAACACUUCUAGCUCUUUCCCGGGAAAUCACCUGAGCCCAGAGGUUUUAGGGGAGUUUGGAAUCAUGGAUCCAUUCCUCGGUGGUAUGAGGCAUUCAGAUCAGCCCAUAGUGGGUGAGCGUGGAGUCUGAGAGGUUGUCAGAUCCACGCGUGGGGAGUGGUUUGUAGUCCUCGGUCCUCGUGUCUGAUGCCGGUGGGGUCUCUGGUGACAGCCCGUUCUGGAGCCAGAAGCGGGCGGCUUUUCUGGUGGGUCUGGCUGUACGUUUGCCGGCUCGUCACCCGUCCACGGCGUCGGU
rnacentral:lncRNA from 1 species